rnacentral:ncRNA from 2 species
ACAGGGUCUGGCAUGCCCCGCACACUGCGAACACGAUCUGUGGGUGGAAGCCGGUGUGAAUCCGGCGCGGUCGCGCCACUGUGAUCAAACUGUCCGCCCGUCCGGGCGGACGUUUGAGAGUCAGACCCACCCGCGGGUCCAGUCCGAAUGUU